GCCAGUCCUCUGACAAAUGGUUCCAAAUUAUUAAACUGAAUAUAUCCUUAUCUAACUGCCAAAGCAAUUAUUAUUUGAGACUGAACCUAAAAGCAACAGCUACUGAGAACUCCAGUUAAAAGAGAAAGGAGACCUUCUACCUCUUGCCACAUUUGAGUUAGCCUCCAAAGAGAAGUAUGAUCAAUAUUCAUUAACAGUCUUGUCAUCAGAAAAGGAAAAUCUAUGUGACAUACAUCUGGUCAACAAAAAAAGAUCAGGUGUGCCUCACAACUACAGCGAAAGUUAGGAAGCGUGAGACUGCCUUCCCUAGGAAGCACACUUCUUAGCAUACCGAUCAGAAGAGUUUCCUCUUUGUCUUCAAUAGAUCAAUAACACUAAAGCUUCCAAAGCAUCUAUGCAACAGAGGGCUCCAUUUCAGAGUUCACCCAUGGGUUGUCUUCAAACACACCGGUCAAUACCUGCAGUUCAUCAAUUUCGCAGGUCCUCUGACCAUACCUUACAUGGAUCUAAUAUCAAGAGCUCCGUCGGAUUACCUACCGAAGCGCUUCACCUGCGGCUGCACUCAGAACAUCUCGCAGAGCUGUGUGGAUGCCAUCCUUGAAUCUGGAAGACAGAAGACGCAUCAGGGAGCUGUUUACUAUACUGUGAACACCUGGCCUCUCCUAGAACAUUGUCUGAUUUUAAACUUGUUACCGUGCCACCGAGAAUUCCAACAGGGCUA